ensembl:lncRNA
AUGUCCCCCAGUGUUUGGAAACACAGCACUACUUCCUGCAACCCAGGCCUCUCUGUGGCUUGCUUCCCUCACGGCAUUGUAUUCCUGUGUCUCGCAGGUGUCCACCUCAUCCUGAUUGGAGGCUUCGUCCAGCUCCUGGCAGGAUUCCUUGCCUUCCGGAAGUAUGAUCACCUUGGAGGCACAGCCUUUCUGACCUUUUCUGCUCUAUGGAGUAGCUAUGGGGCUACACGCAUCAUUUCAGCUGCAUAUCCCCCUUUGCAGAACUUAACUCUGACCUCAGAGAAUGCCAGUCACCUCCUACCUGCUGCCAUGGCCCACCCCUCUGACAGUCAAAGUGCUGUGGCUGGGCUGGUGGCCUACAUUUCCAUUUCCUUUAUCCUCUCCUUCUGCUCAGCCACAGUGAACUACAUCAUGCCCUUCAUAUUUGGGGCCAUCACACUUGCCCUGGUGUUUGAAGCAGUUGCACUCUUUGGCCAGUGGGCUCUGGUAGUGUCAGGUGUCAUUGAGCUUGUCAUCGUCAUGUGUGGGUUGUACGGGGCAGUGGCUCUCCUGCUCAAGGGCAUCACACAACGGUACAUUCUUCCAGGAUUUGGGCAUCCACUCUUCAAUGUCUUGCUACUGGGGUCAGCACAGAAGACCUCUUCCAAGGCCAUUGGGGAAGAGAAGAAAAAGAAUACAAAGUAUGCUGAACCAAUGGCCCUAGGCAACAUCUGUGAUACUGUCUCUCCCUUUAUAUUUACUUUCUACUUCUUUGGAUACAUGAAGACCUUCUGUGUUGGAGCAGCAUGGAUAUCCAUCAUCUCCAGCUGUCAGUUGCUGUCCAGCUUCUACAGCUAUCUGAGAGAUGAUGCCUAUUACACUACCAAGUUUGGUGUCCAUAGCCUGUACUGGCUGGUGAUGUCUUGGGAAGAAUUUAUACUAACCACCUUYACUGGGCCAGAGAAAACUCAGGAAAGUAGGCUGGGAAUGUUUGGAGGCUGGUUCUUUCUGGCYGCUGCCUGCCUGCUGUUUCUGAUGUCAUUCCACAAAGAUACCCUAGAGAUGCUGCAAAAUGCCUCUUUCAUUGUCCUCACAACUGCCGCCAUCCAUCAGAUCCCAAUACCAGGUGCUUACCUAUUCCUUGGGGCUGCCUGCAGCCUUUGCACUGCCCUCUCAAUGUAUGCCACUUUUGCCAGCCUUAUCAACUCCAUUGGGGAGAAGGCUUUGAUACCAGUUGGUGUCCAGGCUAUGUCCAGCUCAGCUCUUCAAACCAAACUCAUGUUUGCCAAAGCCUGCUUCACAGGAUCCAAGAAUUUCCAAAGUAGCACCAAUGCUGAAGUGCCAGAUGCCUUGUUCUACAUCUGCAAUGGCCUGGCUGCAGUCUCUGCCAUCCAGGGUACUUUCAAUGACCCCAUCAGACAGCAACUUUCUAUACCCUCCGUGCUCAUCCCAGGAGCUGUAACGCAGCUGUAUGUGUGCAGGAUCCAGGUUCAACAAGGGAGAAGGUUUGGUUGCAUUCUUCCAUUCUGUUAUGCUGCCUUUUGGGGAGCAUGGACCUGGCUUCGAUUUGCAGGUAAUGCAAGAGUGUACUUACUGUUUUGCUUAUUCAAAACAAAUGGAUGUUUUUAG